CUUCUACUGAAGCAAGAGUAUUGCUAGCAUCAGUGACCAUUGGAUCACCUGUAUUGCUAUCAGGCCCAUGAGAUGCUUUUAAUUCUUCCUCUUUGAUCAUACUAGCUUUCAGUUCCUCCUCCCUUUUCAAUUGCUUUUGCUCUUCUUCAUAAGCAAUUAGCUCAUCCCCGACUAAAGGAACCCUCCUCGACAUAGUAACUUUAACUGCCUUUGGAGGUGGAUCAGCCUGAAGCAUGCGAGCUAAGGUGCCAAAUUGGCCUCUUUCCGUGAAAAGCACUUGGCUUUUAGCAUCUGCUGCCCAUUCAACAAAUAUGUCAUGCGAAAAACCUGCUUCCAAACUGGCCAUGGAUGCUAGAACAACC
rnacentral:misc_RNA from 1 species